GACGAACGCUGGCGGCGUGCUUAACACAUGCAAGUCGAGCGGUAAGGCCCUUUCGGGGGUACACGAGCGGCGAACGGGUGAGUAACACGUGGGUGACCUGCCCUCAGCUCUGGGAUAAGCCUGGGAAACCGGGUCUAAUACCGGAUAUGACUCCAUGACGCAUGUUGUGGGGUGGAAAGCCUUGUGCGGCUGAGGAUGGGCCCGCGGCCUAUCAGCUUGUUGGUGGGGUGAUGGCCUACCAAGGCGACGACGGGUAGCCGGCCUGAGAGGGCGACCGGCCACACUGGGACUGAGACACGGCCCAGACUCCUACGGGAGGCAGCAGUGGGGAAUCUUGCGCAAUGGGCGAAAGCCUGAACGCAGCGACGCCGCGUGAGGGAUGACGGCCU
rnacentral:rRNA from 1 species